rnacentral:rRNA from 1 species
CAAUAGCGUAUAUUAAAGUUGUUGCGGUUAAAAAAGCUCGUAGUUGGAUUUCUGCUGAGGACGACCGGUCCGCCCUCUGGGUGAGUAGCCGGUUCGGCAUGGGCAUCUUCUUGGAGAGCGUAGCUGCACUUGACUGUGUGGUGCGGUAUCCAGGACUUUUACUUUGAGGAAAUUAGAGUGUUUCAAGCAGGCACACGCCUUGAAUACAUUAGCAUGGAAUAAUAAGAUAGGACCUCGGUUCUAUUUUGUUGGUUUCUAGAGCUGAGGUAAUGAUUAAUAGGGAUAGUUGGGGGGCAUUAGUAUUUAAUUGUCAGAGGUGAAAUUCUUGGAUUUAUGAAAGACUAACUACUGCGAAAGCAUUUGCCAAGGAUGUUUUUCAUUAAUCAAGAACGAAAGUUAGGGGAUCGAAGAUGAUUAGAU